rnacentral:rRNA from 1 species
AGGGAGUGCAACUGGCCAGUCCGAGCCGCGAACCGAAGGAAUAUGUACCAAGAUGAAAGAAGCGGCGAACGGGUGAGUAACGCGUGGGAAAUUCUGCCGAGUAGCGGGGGACAACGUUUGGAAACGAACGCUAAUACCGCAUAACAAUCGGAAUCGCAUCGAUUCUUAUUUAAAAGAAGCAAAAGCUUCACUACUCGAUGAUCCCGCGUUCGUAUUAGCUAGUUGGUAGUGUAAAGGACUACCAAGGCGAUGAUACAUAGCCGGCCUGAGAGGGUGAACGGCCACACUGGGACUGAGACACGGCCCAGACUCCUACGGGAGGCAGCAGUAGGGAAUCUUCGGCAAUGGACGAAAGUCUGACCGAGCAACGCCGCGUGAGUGAAGAAGGUUUUCGGAUCGUAAAACUCUGUUGUUAGAGAAGAACGUUAAGUAGAGUGGAAAGUUACUUGAGUGACGGUAUCUAACCAGAAAGGGACGGCUAACUACGUGCCAGCAGCCGCGGUAAUACGUAGGUCCCGAGCGUUGUCCGGAUUUAUUGGGCGUAAAGCGAGCGCAGGUGGUUUCUUAAGUCUGAUGUAAAAGGCAGUGGCUCAACCAUUGUGUGCAUUGGAAACUGGGGAACUUGAGUGCAGGAGAGGGGAGUGGAAUUCCAUGUGUAGCGGUGAAAUGCGUANAUAUAUGGAGGAACACCGGAGGCGAAAGCGGCUCUCUGGCCUGUAACUGACACUGAGGCUCGAAAGCGUGGGGAGCAAACAGGAUUAAAUACCCUGGUAGUCCACGCCGUAAACGAUGAGUGCUAA